rnacentral:rRNA from 1 species
CCUACGGGUGGCUGCAGUGGGGAAUAUUGGACAAUGGGCGAAAGCCUGAUCCAGCAAUGCCGCGUGUGUGAAGAAGGCCUUCGGGUUGUAAAGCACUUUAAGCAGGAAAGAAGGGGGUUAUAUUAAUACCAUAACCUUUUGACGUUACCUGCAGAAUAAGCACCGGCUAACUCCGUGCCAGCAGCCGCGGUAAUACGGAGGGUGCGAGCGUUAAUCGGAAUUACGUAGCGUAUAGCGCAUGUAGGCUGUUAAAUCCCCGAGCUUAACUUGGGAAUGGCAUUCGAUACUGUCAAGCUAGAGUAGGCUAGAGGAAAGGGGAAUUCCGCGUGUAGCAGUGAAAUGCGUAGAUAUGCGGAGGAACACCAAUGGCGAAGGCACCUUUCUGGGGUCAUACUGACGCUGAGAUGCGAAAGCGUGGGGAGCAAACAGGAUUAGAUACCCGAGUAGUC